rnacentral:rRNA from 1 species
UUAGUGUGUAUCAAUCGAGUUUCUGACCUAUCAGCUUUUGAUGUUAGGGUAUUGGCCUAACAUGGCUAUGACGGGUAACGGGGAAUUAGAGUUCGAUUCCGGAGAGGGAGCCUGAGAAAUAGCUACCACAUCUAAGGAAGGCAGCAGGCGCGUAAAUUACCCAAUUCUAAAGAAGAGAGGUAGUGACAAGAAAUAACAAUGCAAGGCCAAAUUUUGGUUUCAAUUGGAAUGAUGGGAAUUUAAAACCUUCC